CGGGCGGUGUACUCCCAGGUGGCUUCACCGUCGACCAGGCUCCGGUCGCCGAAGUACGCGCCGUCGGCGAGGACACCGAGCACCGUCUCGUCCCCGUACGGCCCGGAGCCGACUUUCUCCACCUUGCCGUGCGCCAGCAGGAAGACCCGGUCCGCCGCCUCCCCCGAGGCGGCGAGCACCUCCCCGGCGGCCACGUCCCGCUGUUCGCACCUGCGGGAGAGUUCGGCGAGGACCUCCUCGUCGCCGAACUCCCGCAAGGGCGGCAGCUCCCCGAGCUCGGCGGGGAUGACGGAGACCUGGUCGCCGGUCUGCACGAAGGUCACCCGGCCGUCGCCGACCGCAUAGCUGAGCCGACGGUUCACCCGGUACGUACCGCCCUGUACCUGCACCCACGGCAGCAUGCGCAGCAGCCACCGGGAGGUGAUCUCCUGCAUCUGCGGCGCGGACUUGGUGGUCGUCGCGAGGUUCCGCGCAGCCGCCGUGCCCAGACUCUGCUGCGGCGGAGCCU
rnacentral:antisense_RNA from 1 species